rnacentral:rRNA from 1 species
UAGCGGAAGCCGGGAAUGGAAAGCCCGGUGCAAGCAGGGUACCAGUGCGGAAGGCAAAUCCGCCGCACAAUGGGAAGCUGUGAAGCGGAGCGAAAUAAAGUAGCGAAGUCCGUGAGCCAUGCGUCAAGAAAAGCCGCUAUUGUUUGUACCGUACCUGUACCGUAAACCGACACAGGUGGAUGAGGAGAGAAUCCUAAGGCCGGCGGAAGAAGCAUUGUCAAGGAACUCGGCAAAAUGGCCCCGUAACUUAGGGAUAAGGGGUGCCUGUGGAAACAGGCCGCAGAGAAUAGGCUCAAGCAACUGUUUAGCAAAAACACAGGUCUAUGCGAAACUGAAAGGUGAGGUAUAUGGGCUGACGCCUGCCCGGUGCUGGAAGGUUAAGAGGAGAGGUCAGAGCAAUCGAAGCCUUGAAUUUAAGCCCCAGUAAACGGCGGCCGUAACCAUAACGGUCCUAAGGUAGCGAAAUUCCUUGUCGGGUAAGUUCCGACCCGCACGAAAGGCGUAAUGAUUUUAGCGCUGUCUCGACAAUGCAUCCGGUGAAAUUGAAGUACCAGUGAAGAUGCUGGUUACCCGCGCCAGGACGGAAAGACCCCAUGGAGCUUUACUCCAGUUUGGUACUGGGAUCCGGUAUUGCAUGUACAGGAUAGGUGGGAGGCUGAGAAUGAGCAGCGCCAGCUGCACAGGAGCCGCUGUUGGGAUACCACCCUUGCAGUAUUGGGUUUCUAACCAGCCGCCGUGAACCGGCGGUGGGACAAUGCCAGACGGGGAGUUUGACUGGGGCGGUCGCCUCCGAAAGGGUAUCGGAGGCGCCCAAAGGUUCCCUCAGGAUGGACGGAAACCAUCCAAAGAGUGCAAAGGCAGAAGGGAGCUUGACUGUGACACCGACGGGUGGAACAGGUACGAAAGUAGGGCUUAGUGAUCCGGUGGUAUUAAGUGGGAAUGCCAUCGCUCAACGGAUAAAAGCUACCCUGGGAUAACAGGCUUAUCACUCCCAAGAGUUCACAUCGACGGAGUGGUUUGGCACCUCGAUGUCGGCUCAUCGCAUCCUGGGGCUGUAGUAGGUCCCAAGGGUUGGGCUGUUCGCCCAUUAAAGCGGUACGCGAGCUGGGUUCAGAACGUCGUGAGACAGUUCGGUCCCUAUCCGGCGUGGGCGUAGGAUAUCUGAAGGGAGCUGUCCUUAGUACGAGUGGACCGGGAUGGACGGACCGCUGGUGUACCGGUUGAGCAGCCAGGCUCAUGGCCGGGUAGCCAAGUCCGGAAGGGAUAAACGCUGAAGGCAUCUAAGCGUGAAGCCCCCCCUAAGAUGAGAUAUCCCAUUCGAAAGAAGUAAGACCCCUUGAAGACGACGAGGUAGAUAGGCUGGAGAUGGAAGUGCAGUAAUGUACGGAGUUGACCAGUACUAAUCGGUCGAGGGCUUGACCGA